AACGGCUGCAAGGAGAAGAAAAGGCAGAACAUCAACAAGGACGUAGUUCUCUUCAAGCACACAAAAUGCCAUAUGGGGGCCGACGUCUUCCUCGUGCAGGUCAAUGGGGGUGGUCAC
rnacentral:rRNA from 15 species